rnacentral:rRNA from 1 species
AACGAACGUUGGCGGCGUGGAUUAGGCAUGCAAGUCGAACGAAUCCCAGCGGUGUAGCAAUACAUCGCUGGGGGAAGUGGCGAAAGGGGCAGUAAUGCGUGACUAACCUACCCCGGGGACGGGGAUAGCCAUCCUAACGGAUGGGUAAUACCCGGCGAUUUGGUUGAGGAGCAUCUCUUGACCAGGAAACGAAUUUCGCCUCGGGAGGGGGUCACGUGGUAUUAGCUAGACGGCGGGGUAACGGCCCACCGUGGCGAAGAUGCCUAGCGGGUGUGAGAGCACGACCCGCGCCACUGGCACUGAGACACUGGCCAGACUCCUACGGGAGGCUGCAGUCGAGGAUCUUCGGCAAUGGGCGCAAGCCUGACCGAGCGACGCCGCGUGUGCGAUGAAGGCCUUCGGGUUGUAAAGCACUGUCGAGGGGGAGGAAAGCCCGCAAGGGUCUGACCUAUCCCUGGAGGAAGCACGGGCUAAGUUCGUGCCAGCAGCCGCGGUAAAAC